rnacentral:rRNA from 1 species
ACUCCUACGGGAGGCAGCAGUGGGGAAUAUUGCACAAUGGGCGCAAGCCUGAUGCAGCCAUGCCGCGUGUAUGAAGAAGGCCUUCGGGUUGUAAAGUACUUUCAGCAGUGAGGAAGGUGGAGUCGUUAAUAGCGGCCUCAUUUGACGUUAGCUGCAGAAGAAGCACCGGCUAACUCCGUGCCAGCAGCCGCGGUAAUACGGAGGGUGCGAGCGUUAAUCGGAAUUACUGGGCGUAAAGCGCAUGCAGGCGGCCUGUUAAGUCAGAUGUGAAAGCCCGGGC